rnacentral:rRNA from 1 species
AGUGAACGCUGGCGGUAGGCCUAACACAUGCAAGUCGAACGGCAGCACAGUAAGAGCUUGCUCUUACGGGUGGCGAGUGGCGGACGGGUGAGGAAUACAUCUGAAUCUACUUUUUCGUGGGGGAUAACGAAGGGAAACUUACGCUAAUACCGCAUACGACCUACGGGUGAAAGCAGGGGAUCUUCGGACCUUGCGCGAUUGAAUGAGCCGAUGUCGGAUUAGCUAGUUGGCGGGGUAAAGGCCCACCAAGGCGACGAUCCGUAGCUGGUCUGAGAGGAUGAUCAGCCACACUGGAACUGAGACACGGUCCAGACUCCUACGGGAGGCAGCAGUGGGGAAUAUUGGACAAUGGGCGCAAGCCUGAUCCAGCCAUACCGCGUGGGUGAAGAAGGCCUUCGGGUUGUAAAGCCCUUUUGUUGGGAAAGAAAAGCAGCAGGUUAAUACCCCGCUGUUCUGACGGUACCCAAAGAAUAAGCACCGGCUAACUUCGUG